GUCGAACGAGAAAGUGGAGCAAUCCAUGAGUAAAGUGGCGCGCGGGUGAGUAACACGUGACUAACCUACCCUUGAGUGGGGAAUAACCUAGGGAAACCUGGGCUAAUACCGCAUAACACCUACGGGUCAAAGGAGCAAUUCGCUUAAGGAGGGGGUCGCGGCAGAUUAGCUAGUUGGCGGGGUAAUGGCCCACCAAGGCAGUGAUCUGUAUCCGGCCUGAGAGGGCGCACGGACACACUGGAACUGAAACACGGUCCAGACUCCUACGGGAGGCAGCAGUGGGGAAUUUUGCGCAAUGGGGGAAACCCUGACGCAGCAACGCCGCGUGGAGGAUGAAGUCCCUUGGGACGUAAACUCCUUUCGACCGGGAAGAUUAUGACGGUACCGGAAGAAGAAGCCCCGGCUAACUUCGUGCCAGCAGCCGCGGUAAUACGAGGGGGGCAAGCGUUGUUCGGAAUUAUUGGGCGUAAAGGGUGCGUAGGCGGUUCGGUAAGUCUCGUGUGAAAUCUUCGGGCUCAACUCGAAGUCUGCACGAGAAACUGCCGGGCUUGAGUGUGGGAGAGGUGAGUGGAAUUUCCGGUGUAGCGGUGAAAUGCGUAGAUAUCGGAAGGAACACCUGUGGCGAAAGCGGCUCACUGGACCACAACUGACGCUGAGGCACGAAAGCUAGGGGAGCA
rnacentral:rRNA from 1 species